GUAUACAACCUACCUUGUACAGGGGGAUAGCCUUUAGAAAUGAAGAUUAAUACCCCAUAAUAUUAUUGGAUCGCCUGGUUUGAUAAUUAAAGGUUACGGUACAAGAUGGGUAUGCGUCCUAUUAGCUAGAUGGUGUGGUAACGGCAUACCAUGGCAACGAUAGGUAGGGGCCCUGAGAGGGGGAUCCCCCACACUGGUACUGAGACACGGACCAGACUCCUACGGGAGGCAGCAGUGAGGAAUAUUGGACAAUGGAGGGAACUCUGAUCCAGCCAUGCCGCGUGCAGGAAGACUGCCCUAUGGGUUGUAAACUGCUUUUAUACAGGAAGAAACAGUGGUACGUGUACCACCUUGACGGUACUGUAAGAAUAAGGAUCGGCUAACUCCGUGCCAGCAGCCGCGGUAAUACGGAGGAUCCAAGCGUUAUCCGGAAUCAUUGGGUUUAAAGGGUCCGUAGUGGACUGGUCAGUCAGAGGUGAAAUCCUGCAGCUCAACUGUAGAACUGCCUUUGAUACUGCUAGUCUUGAAUCAUUAUGAAGUGGUUAGAAUAUGUAGUGUAGCGGUGAAAUGCAUAGAUAUUACAUAGAAUACCAAUUGCGAAGCAGAUCACUAAUAAUGUAUUGACACUGAUGG
rnacentral:rRNA from 1 species